rnacentral:tRNA from 1 species
GCGCGUCGUGGGCGGCUGGUCGCCCGGCGGUCUGUAACACCGUUGCUUCGGCAUGCCUGGUUCGAGUCCAGGGACGCGCA